rnacentral:rRNA from 1 species
UACGUAGGAUGCAAGCGUUGUUCGGAAUUACUGGGCGCAAAGAGUACGUAGGCGGUUUGAUAAGUCUGAUAUUCAAGACUGAGGCUUAACCUCAGGAAUGUAUCGGAAGCUGUCAGACUAGAGGACAAUAGAGGGAGUCGGAAUUCUCAGUGUAGCGGUGAAAUGCGUAGAUAUUGGGAAGAACACCAGUGGCGAAAGCGGACUCCUGGGUUGUUACUGACGCUGAGGUACGAAAGCGUGGGGAGCAAACGGG